rnacentral:pre_miRNA from 1 species
ACCCUAGAGACUGGUGGCUUGGCUAGUUGAUAACAGUUGCCAAGCAAUAGCUUCUUGGGUUU